rnacentral:tRNA from 1 species
GAGAGUGUAGCUCAGUGGUAGAGCACAUACUUAGCAUGAACGAGGUCCUAGGUUCAAUUCCCAGCACCUCCA